rnacentral:rRNA from 1 species
CCUACGGGAGGCAGCAGUGGGGAAUAUUGCACAAUGGGGGAAACCCUGAUGCAGCGACGCCGCGUGAGUGAAGAAGUAAUUCGGUAUGUAAAGCUCUAUCAGCAGGGAAGAAAAUGACGGUACCUGAGUAAGAAGCCCCGGCUAACUACGUGCCAGCAGCCGCGGUAAUACGUAGGGGGCAAGCGUUAUCCGGAUUUACUGGGUGUAAAGGGAGCGUAGACGGCAGUGCAAGUCUGGAGUGAAAGGCGGGGGCUCAACCCCCGGACUGCUAUGGAAACUGUACGGCUGGAGUGCAGGAGAGGUAAGUGGAAUUCGUAGUGUAGCGGUGAAAUGCGUAGAUAUUAGGAGGAACACCAGUGGCGAAGGCGGCUUACUGGACUGUAACUGACGUUGAGGCUCGAAAGUGUGGGGAGCAAACAGGAUUAGAUACCCCAGUAGUC